rnacentral:rRNA from 1 species
UACGUAGGCCCCGAGCGUUGUCCGGAUUUAUUGGGCGUAAAGCGAGCGCAGGUGGUUUCUUAAGUCAGAGGUGAAAGGCUACGGCUCAACCGUAGUAAGCCUUUGAAACUGGGAAACUUGAGUGCAGGAGAGGAGAGUGGAAUUCCUAGUGUAGCGGUGAAAUGCGUAGAUAUUAGGAGGAACACCAGUUGCGAAGGCGGCUCUCUGGACUGUAACUGACACUGAGGCACGAAAGCGUGGGGAGCAAACAGG